GGCCAGACUCCUACGGGAGGCAGCAGUGGGGAAUAUUGCACAAUGGGGGGAACCCUGAUGCAGCGACGCCGCGUGAGCGAUGAAGUAUUUCGGUAUGUAAAGCUCUAUCAGCAGGGAAGAAAAUGACGGUACCUGACUAAGAAGCCCCGGCUAACUACGUGCCAGCAGCCGCGGUAAUACGUAGGGGGCAAGCGUUAUCCGGAUUUACUGGGUGUAAAGGGAGCGUAGACGGCAAUGCAAGCCAGAUGUGAAAGCCCGGGGCUCAACCCCGGGACUGCAUUUGGAACUGUGUAGCUGGAGUGUCGGAGAGGCAGGCGGAAUUCCUAGUGUAGCGGUGAAAUGCGUAGAUAUUAGGAGGAACACCAGUGGCGAAGGCGGCCUGCUGGACGAUGACUGACGCUGAGGCUCGAAAGCGUGGGGAGCAAACAGGAUUAGAUACCCUUGUAUA
rnacentral:rRNA from 1 species